AUGAUCUUCAAUGCUCAAAAGGAAAAAUUGAUCACUGGCUUGGCCCCUGAUCUUAUUGAGGGGGGAGUUGCUGUGUUGCAAUACGCAGAUGAUACGGUGUUGUGCUUCGAGCAUGAUACAUCUGCUGCAAUCAACCUCAAAUUGCUUCUUUACAUGUUUGAGCUCAUGUCAGGCUUGAAGAUUAACUACCUUAAGAGUGAAAUCCUGUGUGUAGGGGGUGAUGACAAUAUCCUUAGUUACUGUGCAGAGCUCUUUAACUGUCAAAUUGGUCAUUUUCCUAUGCGUUACUUAGGAGUACCAGUUAGCUUCUCCUCUUUAAGAUGCCUGGAAUGGAUUUUUGUUGAUGACAAAUUUGGCAAGUGCUGUGAGGCCUGGAUAGGCAAUGCUGCUUCAUCAGGUGGCAGACUUACGCUGCUGAACUCCUCCUUGUCCAGUAUAGUCUACUACUAUAUGGCCAUGUUCCUUCUCCCUAAAACUUUCAUUGCAAAAUUA
rnacentral:rRNA from 1 species